rnacentral:snoRNA from 1 species
UGAACCAGUGACAAGAAUGUUUCAAAACCAAAAGUUAUGAAUAUAGUUUUUAUACCUGAGGUCCAUU